ensembl:lncRNA
AUAAAAUACCGCUCCUUCCAUAUUGAUUGUGCUUUGGCAACUAGAUGCAGUGCUAGGCUUCACUCUGCAAGGUGUUUAAAAAGAAAAACAGGUUUACCCGGGAUUUAUCAUGGAGUGGAAUAAGAGUGCCUCUCUCUCUAGAUGGGAACUUUGCUCCAUGGGACAUUACAGUGCAUAAUCCUUUCCAGCGAACCGAAAAGAAAUACUUCAGAAGGCUCUCUCAAAUCUUCCUUUUUUUUUUUUUAACUUUGAUUUAUAUUCUGCAGUCAUAGAAUAAACUCCAAGAAACACACGCAGCUAAUUAAUAUAUAGUUCAUUUUAUUCGGAGCACCGAUUUUCACAUAAGAGCUAUCUCAAAGUAAGGAUUUCUGGAUUUAGCAGAAAAAUACAUCUCUCAUCACUAUUUUCUUUUUUGGUAGAAUUACUCCCAUCGGCCCACGGCCGUACCUUCAAUUUAGCAGCCGUGUCUCGGAAAUACUAUUAUCACGAUUAUUUUUCCAAUGCACCCAAUAAUAACAACUAUUCUGUUUCCACGUUUGUUCUAUGUGUAAGUAUGCUGGGACGCAUCUCCCCGUUGUAUUUUGGCGUACGGAAAUACUUCUGAUGGAAACGAAAGAAACGGAGUAAGGACACAACCAAGGAGAAAGCUCAGCAGACGCACACGGACAGCGUAUUCGUGAGACAUCUCAGGAUCCACACGUGGUUGCAGUUUGUCACCUUUUUUGUUUGUUUGUUUGUUUGUUUGUUUUGUUUUCUGUGCAUUAAAGAAAAUAUUUACAAUCGUCUUUCUUCUCUCUCUCUCUUCCUCUCUCUCUCUUUUUUUUUUCCCUAUUUUUUUUUUUAAUUUUUUUCUUUCCCCCCUCUUUUAAAUCUAAAUACAAGAACGUGACAAGAAUGUUGGUGUCCCCGGUGAAAACAGGCAGUCAGACUGUGAGAUCACACCAUCCACAAAGGUUCUACCAGACGCUAUUCUAGUUAGUGCUCAGUUUCAGAAUGCAUAGAAUGUUUGCGCUGCAAACAAUGAUACACCAAAUCAUAAUAAUUAUAUUAAUAUUAAUAAUCGUCGUAAUAAAAUAAGUAGUUAAAUAAAUAAAUAACGCC